rnacentral:tRNA from 1 species
GGACUGGUGGUGAAACCGGAGAUCACACGUGGCUUCUAUCCAUGGGUUGCGGGUUCGAGUCCUGCCCGGUCCU